UAGGGAAUAUUGGUAAUGUGCGAAAGCGCGAACCAGCAACGCCGCGUGCACGAUGAAGGCCUUCGGGUCGUAAAGUGCUUUUAGAGAGGAUGAGGAAGGACAGUACUUUCUGAAUAAGCCUCGGCUAACUACGUGCCAGCAGCCGCGGUAAAACGUAGGAGGCUAGCGUUAUCCGGAUUUACUGGGCGUAAAGCGCAUGCAGGUGGUUUUGUAAGUUGGAUGUGAAAGCUCCUGGCUUAACCGGGAGAGGUCGUUCAAAACUACAAGACUUGAGAUUGGUAGAGGAAAAUGGAGUUCCGGGUGUAGUGGUGAAAUGCGUAGAUAUUCGGAGGAACACCAGUGGCGAAAGCGGUUUUCUGGACCAAUUCUGACACUCAGAUGCGAAAGCUAAGGUAGCAAACG
rnacentral:rRNA from 1 species